GACGAACGCUGGCGGCGUGCUUAACACAUGCAAGUCGAGCGGUAAGGCCCUUUCGGGGGUACACGAGCGGCGAACGGGUGAGUAACACGUGGGUGACCUGCCCUCAGCUCUGGGAUAAGCCCGGGAAACUGGGUCUAAUACCGGAUAUGACUUCAUGACGCAUGUUGUGGAGUGGAAAGCCUUGUGCGGCUGAGGAUGGGCCCGCGGCCUAUCAGCUUGUUGGUGGGGUGANGGCCUACCAAGGCGACGACGGGUAGCUGGUCUGAGAGGACGACCAGCCACACUGGAACUGAGACACGGUCCAGACUCCUACGGGAGGCAGCAGGUGGGGAAUCUUGCGCAAUGGGCGAAAGCCUGACGCAGCGACGCCGCGU
rnacentral:rRNA from 1 species